rnacentral:rRNA from 1 species
UACGGAGGGAGCUAGCGUUGUUCGGAAUUACUGGGCGUAAAGCGCGCGUAGGCGGCUUUGUAAGUUAGAGGUGAAAGCCCGGAGCUCAACUCCGGAGCUGCCUUUAAAACUGCAUCGCUUGAAUCCAGGAGAGGUGAGUGGAAUUCCGAGUGUAGAGGUGAAAUUCGUAGAUAUUCGGAAGAACACCAGUGGCGAAGGCGGCUCACUGGACUGGUAUUGACGCUGAGGUGCGAAAGCGUGGGGAGCAAACAGG